UUUCCGUAGGUGAACCUGCGGAAGGAUCAUUAUUGUAUAACCGAGGUGCGAGGGCUGUCGCUGACCCGAAAGGUCGUGCACGCCCGAGUGCCCUCACACACAUCCAUCUCGCCCCUAUGUCCACCACCGCGCGGGUCCACCCUUGGCUUGUUCGGAGGGGGGCUUACGUUUUCACAGAAACUUUGUAAGCAGUGUAGAAUGUAUUUUUUGUUUUUGCGUUCACGCAUUCAAUACAACUUUCAACAACGGAUCUCUUGGCUCUC
rnacentral:misc_RNA from 1 species